UGUGUUCUUGAAGCUGAGGUUGCUGUCAGUCAGGUUGACUAUAUGGCCGAAGUCCAGGAAACUUGGUUUUGUCCUCCUAUAAAGCCCUUACACCAUGAAGAUGAAAGGCAAGGGUAUUCAGAUGUGGAAGCUGUUCAACUUACAGCGCCUAUUUCUGAACAGGUGCUUGCUUUUCAGGAUGCACCAAGUUCUGAACAAAAGCAAACAAAUGCUGAUUUUGAGCAAGUUCUAAUCUCUUCAGUAGCAGUUACGACACCUAGUUCUGCUCAAGUUCUGGCCUUGUGGGAUGGACCAAGUGAUGGACAAGUUUGGACUGGGGGUGACGAUAGCCCUGUCGGAUCUCCGAUAGGCAAGGAACAUGGGCAAAAAACCUCUGCCCCAGUUGGCGAGCUCAUGGAUUUCAGGGGUUUAGGGAAAAUAGACAAAGCUUUUGUUCCAUUCCUAGAGGAAGUCUGUUUGUUGCAUCCUUCAUUGAUCGAGUGCCAAAGGAAGAGGAGUCCUAUGUUUACUGAAUGGGCAUUCACAGCUUUGGGUAGACUCCUGCAUUUUCUAAAGACUAACAAGGGUACAGAUAUGAACGAGGAUGCUUGUGAGCACCUUCGACUUUUAUGGGAGGAGCUUGAGUCCUUCAGAUUUGACUUGGCUUGGUUGGAGCCUCAUGUUCAAUCCGCAUUGGGUAUGAAGAAGUUUGUGGACAGGGAACUAGAGGUAAGAGAGCUGAGAAAUAAUGUGGAUGCUUUGGAGAAUGAAGUCAAGAGGUUGAAGGCUAGGCUAAAUUUGGCAGAGUUAGAUUUUGAGGAUGCGAAAAGAGACAUGGGAGAGGCCGAAGAAAGCUUUGUUGAAAUAAAUAUGGAUAGCGAGCUUGGUUAUGGUGGGAGGCAUUAGCCGUACUGCUUCUCCCUUCGAUGUGAAAACGAUAUGCAACGUAUAUAUGUAUUACAAGCAAAACUCCCUUGUUAAGGGUGAUCCUGUUUUUAAGCCACGGUGAGGGAGAACCCCCUCCAUUGCAAUAUUUGUUAUGAACCAAACCCCCUCCAUCUGAACAAUAUCAAAAUCCCUAUUGUGGGGAGCUCCAAUACUAUCGAGCAACCACUUGUCAACCGGUAUGAGAAUUUUCACCUUAAUUUGACGUUGAGUAUUUUGCUUAUGUGGGUUUAAUUUUGAUGAUUUAGGGUCGUUAAAUUCGUUGAAAAUCUGCUUGGUCUUCCUUCUGUUAUUGCUGGUUGUUUUUAUUCGCUUUCUUUAUCGUUUUGACUUAAUUCUUGCGGCACUUGGGCGUUAUGUAUUAUAUUUCAGGGCUUUUAUCGAGAGCCCUGAAAACUGCAUGGUAUGACAAAUUUGGUCAUGUUUACUCUGCUUAAAAAUGCAGGCAUCAUAAUGUUUUUUAUGUCGGACGGCCAGGUUCGGGGAGUAGACAGCGGUGAUCGCUGAACUGAGCAGAUUGGAAUUCAUCAGUGUCUAAAGUUGAAGUAACUGGGGAAGAGCUUUGGAGGAAGGGAACAUUGUAAAUAAUUGUAUCACAACGCUAGCUGUACUUGCAGUGUUUUUAUGCAAUCUUUUUUUUAAUAUUCAUGUUUAUGCAGAAGCAAGGUUUUAAAGGCGCUAGUAAGGAGACGAGCAAGG
rnacentral:lncRNA from 1 species